AGAUAAGCAUGUCUCCAAGCAAGGAAUGUAGCAAGUAUACCAGUUAAAAUGUCACCCUGACCACCACAACGUUUAAGACCACCAGGAACGGAGCAAGCAUAUGCAGUAGCGCCAUCGGAAAUAAUAUCGGAUUGGCCUUUUUGAAUGAUGAGCAAAUUUAGUUUGCCAGCUAGCUGAUUGCAAGCAUCGGGUCCGUCACUCUUAAUGUCAAGCUUGUCGCAAAGUCUUUUGAACUCAAUAAC